GUCGAAAGUCCUCCAACCGUAAGUCCUCGUUGUCCUCCAGCAUAGAAUUCUGGCAUUGCGACAGAGUCGAAAGUCCUCCAACCAUAAGUCCUCGUUGUCCUCCAGCAUAGAAUUCUGGCAUUGCGACAGAGUCGAAAGUCCUCCAACCAUAAGUCCUCGUUGUCCUCCAGGAUAGAAUUCUGGCAUUGCGACAGAGUCGAAAGUCCUCCAACCGUAAGUCCUCGUUGUCCUCCAGCAUAGAAUUCUG